rnacentral:rRNA from 1 species
UACAGAGGUCUCAAGCGUUGUUCGGAUUCAUUGGGCGUAAAGGGUGCGUAGGCGGCGCGGUAAGUCGGGUGUGAAAUCUCGGAGCUUAACUCCGAAACUGCAUUCGAUACUGCCGUGCUUGAGGACUGGAGAGGAGACUGGAAUUUACGGUGUAGCGGUGAAAUUCGUAGAUAUUCGCAAGAACACCAGUGGCGAAGGCGGCUCACUGGCCCGGCACUGACGCUGAGGUGCGAAAGCGUGGGGAGCAAACAGG